rnacentral:lncRNA from 1 species
GAAAAAGUCUCACAAGAUCUGAUGGUUUAAUAAGGGGUUUCCUUUUUCACUUGGCUUUCAUUCUCCUUAUCUACCACCAUGUAAGACAUGCCUUUCGCCUUCCACCGUGAUUAUGAGGCCUCCCCAGCCACGUGGAACUCAUACACUUAAUAAUUCAUUACCUAUUAAGCUUCUUCUCAGCUGAGGUCAUGCAAAAAUGACUCACUUGCAUAUGAUACUUUCCUUGAGGAAUUAAACCAUAAACUCUACAGUUUUGAACUGAUUACAGCUUUUGAAGCCUCAGAAGAUUUAAAGACCCACAUUGUUAACAAUGGUGUUUUAGGUGUGUGGCGUAUUAGAGGAGUCGGCUAAUUCUAAGUCCUCAAGUGCUCAGAAAACAACAUUAAAAAGUCUGACAUUUGAAAAGUAUGGAAUUAAACAUCAUGGAACUGGCUUUAAGAAGGUAUCCAUUCGUGGCAUGAAAAUGUGAAGAACUUUCUUUCUUUGCAAUGUGAGUUCAAGGAAACGCCCAAGAGUGGAUGUUCCAUCGUAAAUGCUCUGCCCCCAGCUUUUCAAAGGACACAGAAAUUGCACCCAGCAAAGAUGUCCUGUCAAAAUGAUUUAAAAGAAGAAAAAGAAAGUUGCUAGAGGGGAACUGGUACUCCAGAUCAAAAAACAAUUUUAAGUGGUCUAUUUUGGUGGUCUGUGUUGAGACAUAUAACAGCCCAGGCUGCUGUUUUUCCAAGAGGUUAAAUUUCAAAAAGAGGAAACAACAGCAAACAGGCUGCCAAUUUACUCAACAAUGUCACAACUGGCUGGAGCUCUGUUCAAAGCAAAACCGCUGAUUUACAAAUUCCUGGAUUUACUCUUAAAUAUUAACACUUCUUAGGAAACUUUAGACCUUACAUGUCACAUUUAUGACUCCUAGGCAGACACAACCCUCUCCAAACACAUGGUCCUCAUGACAACUCUUUGCCAUGUAUUUCAGCCCCACUAAGGGAAGCCACUGUCAACUCAACCUGUGAUGCCAAGAAGCAGCCCAGGUACCAAGGGACAUAGACUGGAGUCAACAUUAGAUGCGUUUCUGUAUGGUGUAGCUUGGAGGAGGAUGUUUACAGCACAAUUCCGCAAUAAUAUGCUGUAGCAGACAGAAGUUUCCCUUCUAUCAGACAAAGAACUAGUCAGGGAAGGCAAGCUGGCUAGACCACGGUUCAGUUUUUCUCAUCUCCUUUCUGCAAGUGGAAAAUCUGCUGGCUGGCAGUGGAAAUAAUAGGGAAACCACCUCAGAAUGUUGGAGAAGAGGAUGGGGGAGGAGUUGCAGCUCAGGAAUCCUUCAAAGAAGACAUGUGGGGAGAGGAAGACAGCACACAGAAGCAGGGAGAAGUUAAGAGUAUGAACCUUACCAACAGGUAAAAAUGUGUCAUAUUAAUUUUUUCAACAUCAACAAACACGUCAAAAGAUGGAGCACUGAAAGCUGCAUUUUAAACAAAUGCCCCAGUCCCACUGAGAAGUGACAGCAUGCUGGCAGCCCUCGCAGCCCUCGCUCGCUCUUGGCACCUGCCCUUGGCACCUCCUCGGCCUCAGCGCCCACUCUGGCCGCGCUUGAGGAGCCCUUCAGCCUGCCGCUGUACUGUGGGAGCCCCUUCUUGGGAUGGCCGAGGCUGGAGCCGGCUCCCUCAGCCUGCGGGGAGGUGCGGAGGGAGAGGCAUAGGCGGGAACCGGGGCUGCCCGCGGCACUUGCGGGCCAGCUAGAAUUCUGGGUGGGCUUGGUGGGCCCGGCACUUGGAGUGGCCAGCCGGCCCCGAGCAGUGAGGGCUUAGCACUUGGGCCAGCAGCUGCGGUGGGUGCGCCGGGUCCCCCAGCGGUCUCGGCCCACUGUCGCUGCGCUAGAUUUCUCGCCGGGCCUUAGCUGCCACCCCGCAGGGCAGGGCUCGGGACCCAAAGCCCGCCAUGCCUGAGUCCCGCCCCUCCCCGCCCCCCC